rnacentral:rRNA from 1 species
AUAUCAAUAAGCGGAGGAAAAGAAACUAACAAGGAUUCCCCUAGUAACGGCGAGUGAAGCGGGAAGAGCUCAAAUUUGAAAUCUGGCGUGCUCAGUGCGUCCGAGUUGUAAUCUAUAGAGGCGUUUUCCGCGCCGGUCCGCGUCCAAGUCCCUUGGAACAGGGUAUCAAAGAGGGUGACAAUCCCGUGCUUGACGCGACCGCCGGUGCUAUGUGAUACGUCUUCUACGAGUCGAGUUGUUUGGGAAUGCAGCUCAAAAUGGGUGGUAAAUUCCAUCUAAAGCUAAAUAUUGGCGAGAGACCGAUAGCGAACAAGUACCGUGAGGGAAAGAUGAAAAGCACUUUGGAAAGAGAGUUAAACAGCACGUGAAAUUGUUGAAAGGGAAACGAUUGAAGUCAGUCGUGUCCAGUGGGCUCAGCCGGUUCUGCCGGUGUAUUCCCUCUGGACGGGUCAACAUCAGUUUUGACCGGCGGAUAAAGGCGGGAGGAAAGUGGCACCUCCGGGUGUGUUAUAGCCUCCUGUCGCAUACGUCGGUCGAGACUGAGGAAUGCAGCUCGCCUUUUGGCCGGGGUUCGCCCACGUUCGAGCUUAGGAUGUUGACAUAAU